rnacentral:rRNA from 1 species
UUNUGAACUGGGUGACUAGAGUGUGUCAGAGGGAGGUAGAAUNCCACGUGUAGCAGUGAAAUGCGUAGAGAUGUGGAGGAAUACCGAUGGCGAAGGCAGCCUCCUGGGAUAACACUGACGUUCAUGCCCGAAAGCGUGGGUAGCAAACAGGAUUAGAUACCCUGGUAGUCCACGCCCUAAACGAUGUCGAUUAGCUGUUGGGCAGCAUGACUGCUUAGUAGCGAAGCUAACGCGUGAAAUCGACCGCCUGGGGAGUACGGUCGCAAGAUUAAAACUCAAAGGAAUUGACGGGGACCCGCACAAGCGGUGGAUGAUGUGGAUUAAUUCGAUGCAACGCGAAGAACCUUACCUGGUCUUGACAUGUACGGAAUCCUCCAGAGACGGAGGAGUGCCUUCGGGAGCCGUAACACAGGUGCUGCAUGGCUGUCGUCAGCUCGUGUCGUGAGAUGUUGGGUUAAGUCCCGCAACGAGCGCAACCCUUGUCAUUAGUUGCCAUCAUUAAGUUGGGCACUCUAAUGAGACUGCCGGUGACAAGCCAGAGGAAGGUGGGGAUGACGUCAAGUCCUCAUGGCCCUUAUGACCAGGGCUUCACACGUCAUACAAUGGUCGGUACAGAGGGUAGCCAAGCCGCGAGGCGGAGCCAAUCUCACAAAACCGAUCGUAGUCCGGAUUGCACUCUGCAACUCGAGUGCAUGAAGUCGGAAUCGCUAGUAAUCGCAGGUCAGCAUACUGCGGUGAAUACGUUCCCGGGUCUUGUACACACCGCCCGUCACACCAUGGGAGUGGGGGAUACCAGAAGUAGGUAGGGUAACCGCAAGGAGCCCGCUUA